rnacentral:tRNA from 1 species
AGUUUUAAUAGUUUAAAUAAAAAUAUUGGUUUUGUAAACCAAAGAUGAGCUUCUCUCUUAAAAC